rnacentral:rRNA from 1 species
AUUGCACGCUGGCGGCAGGCCUAACACAUGCAAGUCGAGCGAGCGGCGGACGGGUGAGUAAUGUCUGGGAAACUGCCUGAUUGAGGGGGAUAACUACUGUAAACGGUAGCUAAUACCGCAUCCCAUCAGAUGUGCCCAGAUGGGAUUAGCUCGUAGGUGGGGUAACGGCUCACCUAGGCGACGAUCCCUCGCUGGUCUGAGAGGAUGACCAGCCACACUGGAAAGGAGACACGGUCCAGACGCCUACGGGAGGCAGCAGUGGGGAAUAUUGCACAAUGGGCGCAAGCCGGAUGCAGCCAUGCCGCGUGUGUGAAGAAGGCCUUCGGGGUGUAAAGCACUUUCAGCGGGGAGGCGUUACCCGCAGAAGAAGCACCGGCUAACUCCGUGCCAGCCGCCGCGGUAAUUC